GGCUAGAAACACCUGCCGAGCCCCCAAAGGUUCCUACCCUAUAUAGGCUGACCCGCCCAUCAAUCAGAUGCUGCCAUACAUCAUAAAUCGGCUCUUACAGGUAGUGUGUCUAUGUGUACAUCUCAAUAUUAAUGUGUCUAUGUGUACAUCUCAAUAUUAAUGUGUAUAUGUAUACAUCUCAAUAUUAAUGUGUAUAUGUGUACAUCUCAAUAUUAAUGAUCUAUGUGUACAUCUCAAUAUUAAUGAUCUAUGUGUACAUGUCUCAACACAUCUCAUUUAUCUAUUUAAUCACUCCUCUCUCUCCCCCUCCACACUCCCAUGUAUCCAUGAUGUAUGGUAAACGUGUGACAGGACUAAAAUUGGCAAAUAAGUGGACUUGUUUACAACAACACAAAGGCUACAGGACUCUCAUUCAUCCGUCAUGAGUCAACAGCGGCGCGUCAAUGAGGGUUUCCGGAAAAAAAUGCCUCAGUGGCUUAAAGCGUUUGCUUAGUCUCUACGUUCAAAGUCAAAACUGUUUUUCUUAUACCGGCUAGAAACACCUGCCGAGCCCCCAAAGGUUCCUACCCUAUAUAGGCUGACCCGCCCAUCAAUCAGAUGCUGCCAUACAUCAUAAAUCGGCUCUUACAGCUAUGUUCUGAAAGUUUAUACUAACCUUUCAGAGAAAAUGUUUGUGUCCACGAGCUUAUGUUAGCCUCGCAGAAUUAAUUUAUGCUGAAAGUUUAUACUAACCUUUCAGAGAAAAUGUUUGUUUCCACGAGCUUAUGUUAGCCUCGCAGAAUUAAUUU
ensembl:lncRNA